UUUGGGGGUUUUGCUUUUUUCCUUCUGUCUCACUUGCCACAUUUUCAAACCUUAAUAAUUGGAAAGAUGGAGAUUGGAUGCGUGUACGAAGGGCGAGAGUUAUAGGAAUGGUGUUGAUGCAGUCAUGAAGAGUAGGCGAUGAUCGUUAGUGUGGAGCUUAACUUCUAUCAUUUUCUUAAAAUGUGAGUUUAAUUUGACUCUGCAGAUUGAAAAUUAUAUUUUGUUUUUAUGUACUGAAAUUUAGGGUUAGUGUGAUUAUGUAGAAUAGUGCUGAUAUUUGGUAGUAUCGAAAAAGUUAAACUCAACUCUAUGUGAAUCUCUUCAGUUUUGUUUUUCAUUUUCCCCAAUUUUUGGCUCAGCUCUAUGUGAAUCUGUUCGAUUUUGUUUUUCUUUUUUCCUUAUUUCUUUCUUUCUUUUUGCUUGAUUUAAGGAUCUUGAUAUGCUUUGACAACUCAUCCAAACAUUACUAUUAUUGGAAAAUAGGUUUAUCUUAAAUCUUAUAAUUUUAUCUAGUGCUUGAUUAGUGACUUGUCAGAGCUCUCUAUAAAAAAUUUGAUAUCAGAUGCAAAUAUCUUAUUCCAUGUUGUUGCUAAUAAGCUGAAGCUGAAAGUGAGUGUGGUGCCUUCUUUUGGUCAAUUUCCUCUUCGGAUUCUUGCUACUCUCGAUUACAUUGUGGCUCGUCUUCAUGGCGCAUUCCUUGUCCAUGUGGAAAAUGUAGGAAUCGUUAUUGGGAUAUAUCAUUUAAUGUGGAAAAGCACUUGUAUCAGCAUGGAUUUAUGGAUGGGUACACAAAUUGGACCCUUCAUGGUGAAGAAAGGUGGACAAAUGGUGCGUCUGUUGUCCAAGACCGUGUUGAAGGAAGUACAAAUCCAUAUCAUGAUAUGGUUCUGAAUGCUUUUCAUGCUAGAUCAAAUCCAGAAGUACAAGAGGUGGAAGAGGAUCCAAAUCCAUAAGCUAAGAAGUUUUUUAACUUAUUAAAGAAUGCUGAUGAACCUUUAUGGGAUGGUUGUAAGAAGCAUACAAAGAUUGUCAGCAGUAACACAACUCCUAAACUUGAAGUCAGAGUUUAACAUGAGUGUUAGUUGUUAUGAUCGAAUGAUUGCUAUAAUCAAAAGCAUGCUUCCAGAGUCAGAAAGGUUGCCUGAAAAUUUGUACAGAUCGAAGAGAAUGGUAAGUGAAUUGGGAUUAGGAUAUGAGAAGAUAGAUGCAUGUCCUAAUCAUUGUAUGCUAUAUUACAAAGAAAACAGUGAUAAGAAUGUUUGUUUGGUGUGUAAAGAACCGCGAUUUAAACCUAAGACUACAACAAAAAACAAGGAUGUGCCUUACUCAAUGUUAAGAUAUUUCCCCAUUAUUCCAAGACUUCAACGCCUCUUUAUGUCUGUUAAUACUUCAAAAUAUAUGCGAUGGCAUGCAGAUGGAGUAUGCCAACAUGAAUCAAUGAUGACAUAUCCAGCUGAUGCAGAGGCUUGGAAAAAAUUUAAUGCAACUCAUCCUAAGUUUGUUUUUGAUCCACGAAAUGUCAGGCUUGGACUUUGAACGGAUGGUUUUAAUCCAUUUAGUAAUUCAAGUAGCCCAUACUCAUGUUGGCCAAUUUUUUUAACACCUUACAAUCUUCCUCCAAGCAUGUGUAUGAAAAGGGAAUACAUAUUUCUUACUCUUAUGAUUCCUGGACCCAAAUCACCUGGUAAAAGUUUAGAUGUUUAUCUCCAACCUCUAAUCGAUGAGUUAAAGAUCUUAUGGGAUAUUGGGAUUAAUACUUUUGAUGCAUGGAAAAAACAGAAUUUCAUUAUGAAAGCAGCAUUAAUGUGGACAAUAAGUGACUUUCCAGCUUAUGGAAUGUUGUCUGGAUGGAGUACUCAUGGAAAAUUUGCUUGUCCCUAUUGUAUGGGGGAUAUUAAAUCAUUUACUUUGAAGAGUGGUGGUAAACCUUGUUGGUUUGAUUGUCAUCGUCGAUUUUUACCUAUUAAUCAUUCAUUUCGUCGUGAUCAAUGCUCUUUUAAUAAGUCGGUAGUUGAGAACUCUUUACCACCACAAGAAGUUAGUGGCAUAGAUAUAAUAAAUAAAGUAAAUCAACCUCAAAAAGUUACGUUUGGCUUGAAAUCAAGCAAGCAAAAGCAACCCGACUUUGGUAAAACCCAUAAUUGGGUUAAAAAGAGCAUAUUUUGGGAAUUGCCUUAUUGGUCUACUAAUAUGGUUCGUCACAAUUUAGAUGUCAUGCAUGUUGAAAAUUUUUUUUUGACAACAUCUUCAAUACUGUGAUGGACAUAAAGGCCAAGACAAAAGAUACUGCAACAUAUGUAAACGUCCCAAGUUAGAGUUGGUGUUGGAGAAUGAGAAGUAUAAAAAACCCAAGGCAACAUAUGUCUUGAAUUCUGACUAGAGAAAGAUGUUGUGUGAAUGGAUAAAACAACUAAAGUUUCCAGAUGGUUAUGCGUCUAACAUUUCACGUUGCAUUAAUGUAGAUGAGGGGAAAAUAUAUGGGAUGAAAAGUCAUGAUUGUCAUGUUUUUAUGCAAAGACUUAUUCCUUUAGCAUUUCGUGAUAUGUUGCCAAAGCCUAUAUGGGGUGUUUUAACAAAGGUCAGCUUGUUUUUUAAAGAGAUUUGUGCAAAUGCAGUGCAUGCUUCUGUCAUGGAGCACGCUAAGAUUUCUAUCAUCGAAAAAUUUGUAAGCUUGAAAAGAUUUUCCCACCAGCAUUCUUUGAUUCAAUGGAACAUUUGGUUAUACAUCUCCCGCAUGAAGUUAAGGUCGGAAGACCUGUGCAAUAUAGAUGGAUGUAUCCAUUUGAGAGAUGCAUGUUAUAUUUGAAAAGAAAGGUUCGAAAUAAAGCAAAGGUUGAAGGGUCCAUUUGUGAAGCAUAUGUUUUAGAAGAAAUUUCUAAUUUUGCUUCCAUGUAUUUUAAUCCAUGCAUUCAAACAAGGCGUACCCAAGUUUAUCGUAACGAUGAUGGUGGUGAAGAUAAAAAUACAGAGAAGUUAUCUAUUUUUAAACACCCAUGUCGUCCUAUUGGUAAAGGCCAUAAUAGAUUAUUAACAGAGGAGGAACUCCAUAUUGUUGAGACAUAUGUCAUUGUAAAUUGCAAAGAAGUAGGACCAUAUCUACAGAAAUUUGAGGAUUCAUUAAAGGAAGCAAAUCCUAAUAUCUCUGACGAUGAAAUAUUGAUGUCUCGAGAUAAAGAUUUCAAUAGGUGGUUGAAGCACCAAGUGCUUACUGGUCAAGUUGAGGAUCGAUUGAUUCAAGAGAUAAGUUACGGCCCGAUUAAGGGAGAGUUGCAUGUGAAACACUGCUGGAUUCUUGUCGCUCAACUUUCCUGGUUAUGUCUCAUUAACUACCUUCUUACUGUAACAAACUCAAUGGCAGCAUUCCACAAGGCUUGAAUGACAUUACUAAUUGGCAAUCCUUGUUACAAGCUAAGUUACAUUUGGUUCACUUGAUAAUCUCAAAAUGUCUCGAGGAAGAGGAAGAGGACGAGGUCGAGGUUUUAUUAUUCCAUUCCAUCCUACUCAAUCUCUCAUUAACUCUUUAGACCUGGAUCCUUUUUUGCAUUCACCAGGUGCUACUUCCAUCCAUGAACCAUUAGCUGAUGUUGGCCAUUCAACCAAUGGUGAUCAAUCAAUAGACACCACCCCACCAAUUGAUGCUAACCAAUCCUGUGUUGCCCCAACAUAUGCUAACCCACAAUUUCAGGAGGAGCCUUCAAGUGAAAAUUCUCACAAUGAAGUUGAUAGGAGACCUAUUAUAUCUGUGCAACAAAUUACUAACUCGAAGAGGUUUGUUCCAGAUUCAGUGACUCGAGAUAUUAUAUCUGAGUUGCUCAUGAGGAUGCCUAAUCCAGCACCAAAUUGGAAAAAAUAUUCUGCUGAUAUGAAAGAAAUUAUGUUCAAUGAGUUUAUGGAGAAGUAUCGUUUUUCAUCAACUUAUGAUCGUUGUAUGGCAAGAAAGGUUUGGAAUUUAACAUGCAUGGAUCGAUAUUCUGACUCUUUAUCUAAGGCAAGGAAAAAGGCGAAAGAAAGGACAAAUUCAGACAAUAUGUAAGACUUAAAAGGUUUUGGACCAAGAGGUAUUAGAACUGAGAUGUGGGAUGGAUUAGUAGACAUAUGAGCAACAGAAGAAUGGAAAAAAAAGUCUACUACAGGUAAGAGCAAUAGGGCUGCCAAGCCUGAUGCCAUGAUUCACACAGCAGGAUCACGAAGCUUUGAACAACACUUGAUAAAAAUGGAAGAAUACUACAAACGCCCAAUUUCUUAUGGUGAAUUAUAUACAAAGUUCACAAAAGAAAAGAUGGUCAAUAUGUGUCUAACAAAGCAAAAAGCUUCAUUGAAUCAUAUGAAAAUGCUAUGACUGAAAAAUAUGGGGAAGACACAUCAAAGCAUCCUAUAGUUGACUCUGGUGUUUGGAUAAAACAGGUGGUGAAAAUAGGAAAGGUAGAAUCUAUGGAAUUGGUCAUAGUUUGGAUCUUGGCAUUGGUCCACAUGUUUCAUCCUCAACAGUUGAAGGUCCCUCUUUCCAAAAUCUAAAUCCAAUAGCUGAAGAAAUCACUACAUUGACUACACAAAUAUCUAAUUUGCAAGAGCAGGUGAAAACAUAAUUGCAAGCACAGACUGAUAUGCAAGCAUUGAUGCAAGCACAAAUGAAGGCACAAGCAGAAAUGCAACCAUUUAUGCAACAACAAAUGCAAGAGCAAAUGCAAUCUUUUAAGAGAGAAUUGUUGUCUGCUUUGAAGAAACAAGAAUGAAGACAUGCCUCAAAGAACCCAAAACUUUGUUUAUCUUCUAAUUGUGUUAAUGCAUUACUCUUUGUUGAUACCCUCCAAUGCUUUUGUGUCCUAAAACUAUUAUAAAUUGGUGGAAACUUUUAUGUUAUUUUGUACUGUUGGAUGGAUAUACUUUGAUCAUUGUAGGAUUGAUUAUCUAUCCUUUUUAAAUAGGUAUUGCAAAUAUCGGAGGUAUUUAGACA